rfam:Patagioenas fasciata monilis isolate BTP2013 Sc31e1R_53, whole genome shotgun sequence.
CAAACGGCUCUUUUCAGAGCCACCACCCUUUCCUAGAAAGACCUG